rnacentral:tRNA from 1 species
GCGGCGGUCGUCUAGCCUGGACUAGGACACUGGCCUUCCGAGUCAGCAACCCGGGUUCAAAUCCCGGCCGCCGCA